CCCUUAGAUGUCCUGGGCUGCACGCGCGCUUCACUGAUGUGUCCAGUAAGCACCUAACCUCUUCCGAAAGGAACGGGUAACCUUUGCAAAGCACAUCGUGAUGGGGAUAGAUUAUUGCAAUUAUUAGUCUUGAACGAGGAAUUCCUAGUAAGCACAAGUCAUCAGCUUGUGUUGAUUACGUCCCUGCCCUUUGUACACACCGCCCGUCGCUCCUACCGAUUGAAUGUUCCGGUGAGCUCUUCGGACUGCGCGGUCUGCAGUUUCUGCGUUCCGUGCGGAAAGUUGCGCAAACCUUAACAUUUAGAGGAAGGAGAAGUCGUAACA
rnacentral:rRNA from 1 species